ncrna:Chitinophaga pinensis DSM 2588 DTF805b RNA
AACAGGUAUGCCGAAAACUGAAUGAUAGAGUAGGCA